UUAAGCAUCAUUUGGGAAAUAUUUAAAAAAGAAAAAAAAACAAAGCUAAUAAUUCUGACAAUAAUUCUGACAUCAACUGUAUAUUUAGUAAACACAGAGCAUCCAAAAUAAGUGGUUUAUUAAAUUAUGUAUGUCAAAGCAUAAUAAUCCAUACUGACUCCUUACUGAACUUUUCAAUUGUUUGCUGUGAGUUAGAAGUAACAAUGUGAGGUGAACGGACUAUUCACCCUCGUCAGGUGAAGGGCCCCACCGUGACUUUGCAAAAAGGGAGCCAUUUCUCAGAUCAGGCAUGCUGUGUUAAACCUGUCACAUCCAGUUUUUGCUGAGAACAAGCCCCUUUAAACCUGACAACACUGCUGUUAAUCCAGUUAUAUCUGCUGAUUUGAGUGCAUGAGAAGUGAAAAACAGCAGAGUUAAAAACAUGGUUCUAUUUCAGUUCUUGUGCCAGCAUGAUGAGCAGCUAGAGUUGAAUUUGAUGCAAGAUUCAGCAUGUGAUAAAAAUUCCCAACCAUCCUCUUAUCUGAACUGACUUUAUCUACAUCAGAGAUCAUAGCAUUACGUAAGCUGCAAGACAGGGACCGAUCUCUUAUUGUGGAUUGUUUUCCCAGAUUCUAUUUCAGCUGUUGAUUGGGGCUUAAACCAAACAUAAAAACCAUUUGAGAUUCGGUUGUUAGGCCAGUGGAUGGGAAGAUGGGGGUUGGUUUUAAAGGGGGUUCUUUAAAAGAAGGAAUUUGGGGGAAGGGCUGGCUGUGAAGGGCCUUUUCUGAAUGACCCUACAUGGACAAACAGAGAAGACCCCUCCACACCAUCAUAAUAUUUCAGGCUGCAUAGUGACAGGACUGCAUUGGUGCUUAUGACUUGAUUGCACUUCUAUGUCCAUUUUUUUCUUCAAUCCAGGGGAUGAAAAACGAGGAAAGCAGUGAAAAAGAGUGCGAGAAGAGAGACAAAACUGUGCUGACAUGGGGCAUAACUUAAUUUUCACGGUGCCGAGACAGAUGGGAAAGCCCCUGCUGAUCCACUUAUACCAAAUCCAGGAGCGGCAUCUGGGAUCCCACCCGAGACUCCUGGAUCACCGCCAACACCAGCUCCACCACUCGUAGCGGGGCCUUCACCUCCACCACCCUCAACGGGACCAGCAGCUGCACCACCUUCAUUGGGACUGGCAACCUCUCCACCCUCACCAGCACUUCCAGCAUUGCCACCCUCACCAGCACUGCCAGCAUUACCACCCUCACCAGCACUGCCAGCAUUACCACCCUCAUCAUUUUUGGAAGUCUCAAGUGACCUAUAAACAUGCACUAAAUCUGUGCCAAGUCAGCUGUCUUCUCCGCACAUCAAAUUCAGCCAUGCCACAAAACAACACAGCUCUGAGGGAUUCUUUGUGCAGGGUCAAAGAAGAAUGUUGUCCAUGCAGGCAAAGUGGAGAUCCAUCAACGUGGAUCCUGUCCUGUAUGCUAAAGCUAUGUGCUGAGAACACCACUUUUUAAUGUUUCAGACACUUCCUCUCGACUCACUCAGGAAGGUGCAGGGGGACGUGAACUGCACUUAUCUCCUCUUUUCCUGUUUUUGGCCACUAUUCUUAUGCAGACUUUGUGCAGUUUUCUUCAGAUUAGCUAAGCUUUAAACCAAAAAAUUACAUUUAUUUAAGAUAUUUUUUCACAUCAAGGAGACGAUUGGUGAGGAGCAGUAUUAAAAACUCUAAAAUACACUUAGACCUUUUUUGCUUAGUCAGUUCUGUGAUUUAUGCACCAUUAAGACAUAUUCUUA
rnacentral:lncRNA from 1 species